AAAAGAGAGAGUUCGAUCUUAAGUUCUAUAUAAGCUCUGUUGGACAGUUAUAUAUAACAUACAAACAUGAUAAUUCGAAGGUUUUGUUUAUCACAUCCACUGCAACCACACCAAACAAUGUUUUUGUUUUCAACUAGGUUAAGGUUUGUUUCUCUUUUCAUUCCCAAAAAGUUUCUUCCUUUUAAUUUCAUUCCCUCUUUUUGCUUCUCAGCUUCAAUCCUAUUCCCUCAAUUCAAUAAUCCUCAUCUUGACAAUUCCAUUUCAUUGUUCAAUUCUUUGCUCCAUAAGAAUCCUACCCCACCACCCAUUGAAUUUGGCAAGGUUUUAGGAUCCAUUGUGAAAGCUAAGCAUUACUCAAUUGCUAUUUCCCUUUCUCAACAAAUGGAAAUUAGGGGAAUUAACCCUGACUUAGUAAAUUGCAGUCUCUUAAUGAAUUGUUUUUGCCAAUUGGGUCAUAUCACUUUUGCUUUUUCUGUUUUCUCAAAGAUUCUCAAAACGGGUUAUCAUCCUGAUACAAUAACUUUUACCACACUGAUCAAGGGUCUCUGUCUUAAAGGUGAGGUUCAUAAAGCAUUGCACUUUCAUGACAAGGUGGUAGCACAAGGAUUUCAGUUGGAUCAAGUUAGUUACGGGACUUUGAUCAACGGGUUAUGUAAAGUUGGAGAAACAAGAGCAGCUUUAGAGUUGCUGAGACGAGUUGAUGGGAAAUUGGUUCACCCAGAUGUGGUAAUGUACAACACGAUUAUUGAUAGUCUGUGCAAAGAUAAACUUGUUUCUGAUGCAUGUGAUUUAUAUUUUGAAAUGGUUGUCAAGAGAAUUUCUCCUAAUGUUGUCACUUACACUGCUUUAAUUAGUGGCUUUUGCAUCAUGGGUCAAUUAAAAGAAGCAAUUGAUUUGUUAUAUAAAAUGACAUUGGAAAACAUCAAUCCAAAUGUGUAUACUUUUAAUAUAUUGGUUGAUGCUUUUUGUAAGGAAGGGAAGUUGAAAGAAGCUAAAAAUGUGUUUCUUGUGAUGAUAAAAAAUGACAUAAAGCCGGAUAUUUUUACUUACAACUCUUUAAUAGAUGGAUAUUGCCUCGUUCAUGAAGUGAACAGGGCUAAGAGUAUACUCAACAUUAUGGCCCAAAGGGGACUCGCUCCUGACGUUAGGAGCUACAGUAUGAUGAUUAAUGGAUUCUGUAAGAUUAAAAUGCUGGAUGAAGCCAUGAACCUCUUCAAAGAAAUGCAGUCCAGAAAAAUUGUUCCUAAUGUUGUAACUUACAAUUCCCUCAUCGAUGGUUUGUGCAAAUUGGGGAGAAUUACAUAUGCUUUGGAGCUUGUUGGUGAGAUGCAUGAUAGGGGCCAACCACCUAAUAUACAUACUUACAAUUCUAUAUUGGAUGCUUUAUGCAAAAGCCAUGAUGUUGACAAGGCAAUUGCAUUAUUAAACAAAUUUAAAGACUUGGGUAUUCAACCAAAUAUAUGCACGUAUACUAUUCUUCUCAAUGGAUUGUGUAAAAGUGGAAGAAUAGAGGAUUCAAAAAAGAUUUUUGAAGAUCUUUUGGUCAAAGGGUACAAUCUAAAUGUCUAUACAUAUACCGUUAUGAUCCAAGGGUUUUGUAACAAGGGCUUGUUGGACGAAGCGUUGGAUUUGUUCUCAAAAAUGAAAGACAAUGGCUGCAUUCCAGAUGCUUUAACUUAUGAAAUAAUUAUCCGUUUUUAUAAUGAUGAAAACGACAAGGCAGAGAAAUUUCUUGAUGAAAUGAUUGCGAGAGGUCUCCUAUAAGACUGGAACAAAGUAAGAUGUUUUCUAGAAACAAGGUUAGUGCUUAGAACUUGAGUUCUUUGUAGGAAGCAUGGUCCUAUUUUCUUUGUAAUUCCUGAUUUUGCAUUGUUAGAUGAGUAUUUAUCUUAAACUUUGGUUUAAAUUUUUCAUAGAACCUGUACAAAUUUGUAUAUAAACUUUUCAAAGAUUUUAGCAUGAAUUCAUUCCCCAAAAUCUUGGUACUCAAGCGGUAGUAGUAAGGUAGGCUUGUUUUUUAUCUUCUUUGCUUCUGCUUGGUUCAAGAAUUCAUAAGCUUCUAAAAUUAGUAUACAUGACAAAAAUCAAUCUGAAGUUUUGUAAUUAUAGUUAAAAGUUAAAUGAAUUUAAUCAAAGUUAAAAGUUUUGUAAUAAUAGACUUAUUUCAUGUUUCAACUGUUUAUAUCUGUUUAGUACAAAUAUCUUACCGUUCUUAUAUCGAUCGGCGCAUAGUAAAUCAGCACCAUGAUGAAUUGUGCCAUUGUUCUGUCUGCAACUCAUGACAGGGACAGGGAACAAACCAUCGGUAAAACCGGUGACAUAUUCACAAUGCCUGUUACAUAUAAGUGGGUUGAUAUUGAGAAAACAAGACAUCGGACUGCUGUCACUUCAGAUGUUCGACAUCAAAUCAUGGAAAUGAAUAGGAAAGCAAGGGAAGAGUGGGAGAAAAAACAGGCUGAAGCAGAGAAGCUCCGGAAACCGAAUGAUGUGGGUCCCACUUCGUACUACGUGGAAUUUUUGUUUAGUUGAUGAUACAAUACCCACUCUGGUCCUCAAACAUUUCUUGUGCAUGUUUAUAUUUUAUAUUUUUGCGUUUCCUCUGCCUCUUGACAAUGUUGCAUGCCUGGCUUCAGCUGACUUUAGGUGUCAAUGGUUGAUAGGACCCAUGAAGAGAAAGACCCAAAUUGAGAGGGAAAUGCUGAGUUGGCAAGUUAGUUAGAGGGAGGGAUAUACGCGUAGGAGGGGAAUUCUUUUAGGAGAAUGUGAAUAAAUGAGUGGGAACAGGAGGGUAGUGAUACGGGGGAUUCAUUUACAUCAGCUUGUAAACCGAUAGUCAGUUGGCAGAGGGAAUGUCUUUCUGAAGGAGCGCUUGCUCUGGGAUUAUAGAGAUCACUCUCUGUAAUAGUUCUUAUUUCAGUCAAUAAUACGAUUUCUUUUUAUCUUGAAUUCGGUUCCAUAUAAAUGAUAGAGUCAUGUUUGUUGCUAUAUCAAAUUAAGUAGCAUUUACUGUUUCAAUCUCCAAAUAUUCAGUAGCACGGUGCAUUGGCUACACCUGCACUUAACUGUUCAGCUCAAAUUUCUGUAGAUAACAGGAUAUUGAUGUACAUCAGUAGGCGUGUAAAAAAUAUUUGACUCAUUCAAUAGAAAGAUACCUGAUUUUUUAUUUA